UACGGAGGGUGCAAACGUUGCUCGGAAUCAUUGGGCGUAAAGCGCACGUAGGCGGCCUGUUAAGUCGGAUGUGAAAUCCCUGGGCUCAACCCAGGAAGUGCAUUCGAAACUAGCAGGCUUGAAUAUGGAAGAGGGUUGCGGAAUUCCCGGUGUAGAGGUGAAAUUCGUAGAUAUCGGGAGGAACACCUGUGGCGAAAGCGGCGCACUGGACCAUAACUGACGCUGAGGCGCGAAAGCGUGGGGAGCAAACAGG
rnacentral:rRNA from 1 species